GCUGGGCACAGUGGCACGCACUUGUAGUCCCAGAUGCUCGAAGGUUGAGGUAGGAGAAUCGCUUGGGUCUAGGAGUUCUGGGCUAUAAUGUGCUAUGCCAAUUGGGUGUCUGCACUAAGUUCAGCAUCAAUAUGGUGACUUCCCGGGAGUAACCACUGGGUUGCCUAAGGAGGGGUGAACCAGCCCAGUCUGGAAACAGUUAAAAUUCCCAUGAUGAUCAUUAGUGAGAUGGCAUCUGUGCAUAAUAGCACAGCAGUCCAGCCUGGGCAACACAGUGAGACCCCAUCUCUA
ensembl:misc_RNA Metazoa_SRP Metazoan signal recognition particle RNA